AUUAUUUUAUAUUUUAAUAAGAAAAGUUCUUUCCUCUCUUCUUUUUGAAAUAAUUGUCCCCAAUUAUUUUAACCUAAUUUUUUCUUCUUCUUCAAGCAUCGACUCCUUCUUCUUGAUGCUCUUCCGUCGACUGUCUCCUCUGUCGACAUUCUCCGCUAGAAUCAUCUCCGCUGUAAUUCUUUACAUGGUAUCGAGAGCUAGCCACAUCCUUGGCCACCCUCCCCACUAGUAUUUUUCCACUAUCUCGUCGGUUCUUUUUCGUUCGCCGACACUAUCUUACUUGGCUCCGGUUCUUCUCAGAUCUCCUAUCUAGAUUUUUUUCUCUCAAGGGAGUAAACGGAUCAAACUGGUAAAAUUGUUCUGAUUUUAACAUCUAAUUAUUUACAGUUUUAAUCCCAUUUCGUUUUGCUGUCAAUUACAUUUAUUAUUAUUAUUUUCGUUGUAAAAUUGUUCUGAUUUUUUAAUUGCAUUCUUGCGGUCAAUUCCAAUUGCAUUCUUGCCAUUUCUGAUUUCUUUGAUUUCAUCUUCGUCGAUUUCCGAUUAUUUUCUGAUUUCAUCUUCGUCGUUUCCGAUUAUUUUUUUACAAAUAUUGUUCCGAUUUCUGCAAUCAUGAAUUUAUAAGAUUACAUUGAAAUCUAAGGUAAAAAUAGCAAUUUACCAUAGAAUGUAAACUUAGGAUCCAAGUGCAAUAAAUAGAACCUAAAGGUUAUAAGAAAAUGAAAUGAACCGUUUUGUUUUAUAAAUAGCAAGGUUUCUUUUGUAAAAGUUUCAGUAAAAUAUUGUUUGGAUCUUAAGGCAAUAAAAUAAAUAAAAGGUUAUCAAAAUACGUUUAUUAAUAUGGUUGUUGUUAAUAAAAGGUAUAAAUACUCAACUAUUGUACAAUAUUAAUUGUAUAAAGAGUUUUAAGUAAUUACCCAAAAAUAUAAACCAGGUCAAUAAGGACCUGGUAGUUAAUUCUAAUCUUUCAUGUAUCUUGCAGGAACCGAACUAAACUAAUGGACCAUGGACCAAGUUUUAAACAAGUCCAGUCCAGAUAUAAUUGAAUAUGUUUUAACUCGGUUAUUCAUAAUGUAAAGAUUAGUAGUUAAUCUUGUAUAUAUACAACAAUGUGAUUAACGUUAAAAUUCAAUACAAAGUAUAGUUCAGAUUAACAAAUUUCAUUCCUCCUUCUAAAUCUCCCUCCUCGUGCACGCUUAGUGACAGUUUAUUUAGGUAAACGCCUAAACACCAGUAGGCGGAAAACCCUAGCGACGCUUCCUCAAUAAACAAUAUAUUGUCAAAUCGUAAUCUUCAAUCUUCUGUAAUCAACAAUAUUACAGAUAUUGUUUCAAUAUAUUGUCCGAAAUUUUCUAUCACAGAUAUUGUUCCGACUUAUUUUUUUAGAUAUUUCCGAAAUCAAUAAUAUUCGUUGAUUCCCACUGUUGAGAUUACCGCGAGAAAGAAAUCGUCGAGGAUUGGGAUUCCGAUUUCAAUUCCGUUCCGAUUCAAUUGUUGGUUUUGCGAGAUUCAAUUGUUGAUUUGAUUUACGUUUUUUCCGAUUUUUUUAUUCGACUCUUCCUGUCAAUUAUUUUUGUUUUUGACUUUUGAUUCAAUUUCGUUUUCGAUUUGAUUCCGUUUCCAAUUUCGAGGAUUGUUGAUUCUCAUUCGAUUUUUUUUUCUCUCUUCCGUUUUCCAUUAUAGAUUUACUAUCAAUUCUCGAGAAUUUCGUUUCGUUAUCGUGAGAAAGAAAUCGCGAUUUCGACGAUUUCGAUAGUGGUUUCGAUUUUAUUCGUCUAUUUCGAUUUUGAUUUCGUUUUCGAUUUUGUUUUCUCGAUCUCGAUUUCAUUUCCGAUUCAAUCGACUAUCGCUGAUUUUAUUCUUCGAUUUUAUCGUCGUUUUUUUUUAUAUUUUUUUAUUUUCUUCACAUUUAAAUUCUCUGGUUUUUUGAGAUUUUUUUCUACUUUUGAUCGAUUUAUGAUAUACUAUUUUUGAAUCAUCUGAUUUUCAAUUGUGCCAUGCUAUUUUUCAUUAUUAUUUUUUAAUUGUUAUCUGUUUUUUUUGUUAACUGCAAUUAAUAGAAUUAAAAUCUGAUUUAGAAUCUGUUUUGUUUUUUUUUUCCUCCGUUUCUUAAUUGGAAUUAAUUCUUGAUAAUUGCAAUCUCAAUAUUUGCUUAAUAGUUGAUAUAUUGAAAAUGUGAGAAUAAUAAAAAAAAUCGUGAAUAAUCUUGCGAGAAUAAUUAGUUCUUUCCUUGAAGAAUUAAAAUAAUUUUCUACACUGUUUUUUUUAGUUUCUGAUUAAUUAGUAUCUUUCCUUGAAAAAUUAAAAUAUUUUUUUUUUCAAUUUAUAAUCUUUGGUAAUUGUUUUAAUCUCAGUAUAACUGAAAGAUGUCUACAUAUAGUAAUGAUAGUAGUCCAGAGGAGGAUAUUAAGUUUAGAAAAAAACAUAGAUGGAGAGGACCUAAUAUACUGUCUAUGUGUCCCAAUCCAAUGACAAAAGAGAAUUAUCUCGUUUGGAGAAGUCAAUUUAAAAGAGCACUUAGAAUGCAUCGUUUGCUACCCUAUGUUAAAGGAACUCUACCAACUCCUGCAAAAAAGUUGUUAGAUGGCACCAAUUUAAAAGAGCACUUAGAAUUCAUCUAUAAAUUGCUACAGUAUCUGCCCCUAUUCAGUCAUAUGUCUGUGCUUGUAAUUCUGCAUCAGAAGCAUAGAAAAUGCUUGAGGAAGAGUGGUCUCCUACAGACCCAACUCAUAUACAAACUCGGAGAAAAGAGAUGAAAGCUCUUAGGAAAACUACUGAUCUAUCUAUGAAGGAGUACAUACAAAAAUUUAAAGGUCUUAGAUACGUACUCAUUAAAGGUUGCAGGGUACAAGAGUUUAGAUGAUAAUAUAUAUGGUCAUUGAGAUGGUACUUGAUGGGCUGACCCCGAAAUAUAGAAUGUUCAAGUCUACACUACAUGGGAAACAACUGACCUUUAAAAAUCUUACUGAGUUACUAAUACAAGAAGAGAUUUUAAUUAACAAAAGUGACAUAGAAGAAAAAACUAGUGAAAUCUCUGCAAAUUAUGCAUCCCGCAAUUUUUACAGAAGGGGUAGAUGUUAUUAUAGAGGAAAUCCUUACUACAAUACCGGAAGAGGUCAACAACAAAAUCAACAAAAUAAUUCUACUCCUAGUCAUACUCAGGUUGUAACCAUCCUUAAACCAUUACUUAAAACUGAUAAACCUCCACUCUUGACAGUUCCUCCUUCACUUGAUACCUCGGUUGGCUGUUAAAUAUGUGAUAAAAUGGAUCACUUGGCCAGAUAUUGUCCUGAAAGAGGGAAUUUUACAGCCUAUUCAGUUGACCUUCCAAAUACUGAUGAAGACAUUCAGGCAAACUCUGUGACAGUGGGAAAUAUCAACUGGUACUUAGACUCUUGAGCUACAAAUCAUAUGACUUCAGAUGAUUCUGCCUUUGUGGAAUAUGAAGACUACACAGGUACAAAUGGUGUUAUUGUGGGAAAUGGAAAACAACCUAAAAUUGGUAAAAUGAGAUUUAUUCUAAAUAAUAAAACUUACACAUUAAAUCAUGUUCUGUACAUUUAAAUAUAUAAUUAUAGAUUUAUAGCUAAAUAUUUAAUAUAGACCACACCAAGAGCUUCUUUGUCUUCUCAAAACGGGUCUCAGACAGAGUGAUAAUUUCGGAAUUCCAAACGAAUGAGUUGUCGCUUAGAUACCUUAGGACUCCUCUCACAAGAAAGUUGGUAACACACAAAAAUUGUGAUCCUUUGAUCGCUGACUUGAAUGGCAUCCUCACGAGAUGAAGUAAGUAGAAACUAUCGUAUAUGGGGAGAGUCCAGAUCGUUGAAUGGAACUUCACCUGACACAGAGCAGCAAGGUGCAUCAGGUAAACCCACAAACAAUUCGAUCUAUUGCCUACAGGUUCAUCAUAUCUAGGGAACACAUAGGGAAGUUGCAUGGUCUAAUAUGAUCAAAACUAGAAGCCAAGAUGGAAUGGGUGUGAAUUGAAGGGCUUCAAAGGCAUCCAAACAAAAACAAUCGUGGAAAGGAUGAGUAUAAUGUGGGAAUUGAAGGAAAAGGCAUUUAAAGUGAAUUGAUGAACAAGCGUUAUGUCAAGAAAGCACCCCGUUGCACUCAAUUGGGUUUAGGCACAAUGAUUCCUCGAGCUUGAGAGCGAUAUUGUUCCAACGAAAAACCAUGGCAAAAUGCGUUGAUCGUGGGACGAAUCAGAUAGUAUUAAAGCUGCUAUUGGAUCAUCAAAAUUUUAUUUAAAUCAUUUAGAUAUCGGCCCAUGCAAAUGGCCCAAUCAGCUAUAAAUACAUCUUUUUGAUAAUCUUGUAAUCAACUCUUGAUAUUAUUUUGAUUAAUAGAAAACCCUAGGAAACUUCUUCCUAAACGUUGCUUCUUCUCGAUCUCUCUUCUCCGACGAUCAUCAUGUGCUCUCGUCACUGUGAAAUCUUCUCUUAAACUUAAUCGCUUAUUUUACUAUUGUCUUGCUCAUUUCACUGUGAUUGUUUAAACCCCUAAUCCUAUUUACGAUUUUAUCAGAUAGUGAUUUGGAAGGGGAAAGAACCGAUGACAUCAAACACAAUUG
rnacentral:lncRNA from 1 species